ACAGAUUGAUGUUAUCUGUAAAGACAUUGAAAAUGUAACCGCAGAAAAUAUUGAUUAUUGUGUAAACAUUAUUUGUGAUAAAAUUAAAACAUUAA